GACGAACGCUGGCGGCGUGCUUAACACAUGCAAGUCGAACGGAAAGGCCCUGCUUUUGUGGGGUGCUCGAGUGGCGAGCGGGUGAGUAACACGUGAGUAACCUGCCCUUGACUUUGGGAUAACUUCAGGCAACUGGGGCUAAUACCGGAUAGGAGCUCCUGCUGCAUGGUGGGGGUUGGAAGGUUUCGGUGGUUGGGGAUGGACUCGCGGCUUAUCAGCUUGUUGGGUUGGUAGUGUCUAACCAAGGCAUUGCCGGGUAGCCGGCCGGGGAGGGUGACCUGCUAAGUCGGACUUGAACUACGGCACAGCCCAGUAUGGGAGGCAGCAGUGCGGAAGAUUGUACAAUGGGCUGAACCAUGAUGCAGUCACGCAGCGUGCGGGAUGACGUCAUUCGGGUUGUAUACCGAUUUUGCCUGUGACGAAGCGUGAGUGACGGUAAUGGGUAAAGAAGCACCGGCUAACUACGUG
rnacentral:rRNA from 1 species